rnacentral:rRNA from 1 species
GACGAACGCUGGCGGCGUGCUUAACACAUGCAAGUCGAACGGUAAGGCCCUUCGGGGUACACGAGUGGCGAACGGGUGAGUAACACGUGGGUGAUCUGCCCCGCACUUCGGGAUAAGCCUGGGGAACUGGGUCUAAUACCGGAUCGGACCACUGCCCGCAUGUGGGGCGGUGGAAAGCUUUUGCGGUGUGGGGUGGGCCCGCGGCCUAUCAGCUUGUUGGUGGGGUGAUGGCCUACCAAGGCGACGACGGGUAGCCGGACUGAGAGGGUGACCGGCCACACUGGGACUGAGAUACGGCCCAGACGCCUACGGGAGGCAGCAGUGGGGAAUAUUGCACAAUGGGCGCAAGCCUGAUGCAGCGACGCCGCGUGAGGGAUGACGGCCUUCGGGUUGUAAACCUCUUUCAGCACCGACGAAGCGCAAGUGACGGUAGGUGCAGAAGAAGGACCGGCCAACUACGUGCCAGCCGCCGCCGUAA